rnacentral:lncRNA from 1 species
CAUAGAGUCCCCCUUGAUACGGCUGUUCAGCAGACCAACUUUGUUGUAAAUAUUUAGAUAAAAAUGGGCUUUAGAGCAGCCACAUCUGAAGACCCACAAGGCUGAAUGUUACACAGGCAAUCAGAAUCUGAUUGAAGAUAAACUCAUCCUAUUUGGAUCAGAGCAUUAGAAGAAAGAAAGAACUGACACUUCUCAACCUUCUCUAGUUGAAGACUUCUCUUUGCUAUAACUACUUGAAGAGUUCAGCAGAAAAAUUUUACUGAAGAAUCCCUGAUCCUCCUUUAAGUAGCUGUAGAGAAUAUUCACUAAGUGUAAUGGGACACGUCUCUCUCAUGCCCACUUCUUUUCUCUUAUCCCUGCAAGAAAAUGAAGUUUUGUUGGAGUCAGA